rnacentral:lncRNA from 10 species
GCCAGCGCCAUCUUGUCUGAUCCUUACUGUACACGUGGCUGGCCAAGAGAAGAGAAGAUGGAGCGGCCAUUUUGAUCAUGCCUAGUCCCAGAUCAUCAGGGAACAGCUCUCUGGAGGUGGUGCAGUGCAUAAGAGAGAAACUGGCUAGUGGUGGAAAUAAUACACUCCUUGGAAAAAGUAAAAGGAAAAUGUAAAAUGGAGUCUACCUUCUGGAUGCAAAGAAAUUCUCAUCAUCACGUGAUAGCAAGAUAGAAAAUAUGGUGACAACAAAAUUUUGACCAUUUAUAAAUAAUAAGUGAACUUCCAAAAAAGAAGGGAAAUGUUUGGAGACCAAAAUUAAGAGAAGCCACAAUGGUUUUGAUAUCAGGAUGAUGCUGGCCUCAUAAAAUGAGUUAGGGAAGAGUACCUCCUUUUCAAUUGUUUGGAAUAGUUUCAGAAGAAAUGGUACCAGCUCCUCUUUGUACCUCUGGUAGAAUUCAGUGUAAAUCUGUCUGGUCCUGGGCUUUUUCUGGUUGGUAGGCUAUUUAUUACUGCCUUAAUUUUAGAACUCCUUAUUGGUCUAUUUAGGGAUUCAACUUCUUCCUGGUUCAGAUUUUGGGAGGGUGUAUAAGAAUUUAUCAAUUACUUGUAGAUUUUCUAGUUUGUUUGCAUAGAGAUGUUUAUACUAUUAUUUCAUGGCUGUUUGUAACUCUGUGGAGUCAGUGGUAAUAUCCCUUUUAUCACUUCUGAUUGUGUCUAUUUGAUUUUUCUCUCCUUUCUUCUUUAUUAGUCUAGCUAGUGGUCAAUUUUACUAUUUUUUUUUUUAAACAGCUCCCUCCUGGAUUCCUUGAUGUCUUGAGGGGUUUUUGUGUGUGUGUGUCUCUAUCUCCUUCAGUUUGCUCUGAUCUUGGUUAUUUCUUGUAUUCUGGUAGCUUGGGGUUUGUUUGCUCUUAAUUCUCUAGUUCUUUUAAUUGUGAUGUUAGGAUAUUGAUUUAAGAUCUUCUAGCUCUUUGAUACGGGCAUUUAGUGCUAUAAAUUUCCCUCUUAAAACUGCUUCAGCUGCGUCCCAGAGAUUCAAGUAGGUUUUCUCUUUGUUCUCAUUAGUUUCAAAGAACUUCUUGAUUUCUACCUUAAUUUCAUUACUUACCCAGGAGUCAUUCAGGAGCAGGUUGUUCCAUUACUAUGUAGUUCUGUGGUGUUCAUAUCUUAAUCUUGAGUUUUAAUUUGAUUGUGCUGUGAUCUGAGAGACUGUUAUUAUUUUAGUUUUUUUGCAUUUGCUGAGGAGUGUUUUACCUCUAAGUAUGUGAUCAAUUUUAGAGUAAGUGCCAUAUGGCACUGAGAAGAAUGUAUAUUCUCUUGUUUUGGGGUACAGAGUUCUGUGAUAUCUAUCAGGUCCACGUGAUCCAGAGCUGAGUUUAGGUCCUGAAUAUCUUUGUUAAUUUUCUGUCUCAACGAUCUGUCUGAUAUUGACAGUGGGAUGUUAAAGCCUUCCACUAUUAUUGUGUGGGAGUCUAAGUCUCUUUGUAGGUCUCUAAGAAUUUGUUUUAUAAAUCUGGGUACUCCUGUAUUGGCUGCAUGUAUAUUUAGGGUAGUUAGCUCUUCUUGUUGAAUUGACCCUUUAGCAUUAUGUAAUGCCCUUCUUUGUCUUUUUUGAUCUCCGUUGGUUUAAAGUCUGUUUGCCAGAUACUAGGAUGGCAACCCCUGUUUUUUUCUGUUUUACGUUUGCUUGGUAAAUAUUCCUCCAUCCCUUUAUUUUGAGCCUAUGUGUGCCUUUGCACAUGAGACGGGUCUCUUAAAUACUGCACACUGAUGGGUCUUGACUCUUUAUCCAGCCUGCCAUUCUGUAUCUUUUAAUUGGGGCAUUUAGCCCAUUAAUAUUUAAGGUUAAUACUGUCAUGUGUGAAUUUGAUCCUGUCAUCGUAAUGCUAGCUGGUUAUUUUGCAGACUUGUUUAUGUAGUGACUUCAUAGUGUCACUGGUCUGUGAACUUCAGUGUGAUUUGUAGAGGCUAGUCAUGGCUUUUUAUUUCCAUAUUAUGUGUUUCCUUCAGCUGCUCUUGCAAGGCAGGCAUGGUAGUAAUGAAUUCCCUCAGCAUUUGCUUGUCUGAAGAGGAUUUUAUUACUCCUUCGCUUAUAAAGCUUAGUUUGGCUGGAUAUGAAAUUCUGGGUGGAAAAUCCUUUUCUUUAAGAAUUUUGAAUAUUGGCUUCCACUCUCUUGUGGCUUGUAGGGUUUGUGCUUAGAGGUCUGCUGUUAGUCUGAUGGGCUUCUUCUGUAGGUGACCUGGCCUUUCUCUCUGGCUGCCCUUAACAUUUUUUCCUUCAUUUCAAACUUGGAGAAUUUGAUGAUGAUGUAUCUUGGGGAUGCCCUCUCUCACCACUCCUUUCAACAUAGUGGAAGUUCUGGCCAGCACAAUCAGGCUGGACAACAUGAAAAUGUCUGAUAAUACCAAGUAUUGCCAGAGUGUGGACCAAGAAAAACUCUUACAAAUACUAAUAAAACUGUAAACCAUGUGAAAAACAAUUUAAUAUUGACUGUAUCAUACCCUGAAACAGAAAUCCACUCCUAGGUGAUACAUUAACUAGAAAAAUUUUUAUGCACAUUCAUAAAGAGAUAUAAACAAACAUGUUCCCAACAGUAUUACUUAUAAUAGUAAAAACUGUCAUCAGAAUGUGAAUGUGGUGAGUUUAUACAAUUAACUAUUAUGCAGCAUCAAAAAUCAGUCAACCAGAGUGACACAUAUGAAUAUGAAUCAUUAUUAUUUACAUAAUGUUGAUAUUUUAAAAAUCAAAAGCAAUUUGCAAAAGAAUGCAUACUGUAUUAUAUCAUUUAUAUAAGGGUUACCUAUGCUAAGCGAUACAAAAAUAUUGUUAGUACUCAAAGUGCACAAAAUGUAUGAAUGUAUAAAUGUACAAAUAAAUACAAAAUUUAGAAAUGAGGUUAUCUUUUGUGUGUGGGGGAAUGGGGUGGACAGAGAGAGGAAUGGGAGAGGAGGCUUCAGUCAUAUCCAUAAUGCUUUCUUAAUGGGCAUAAUGGGUAUAUCAGUGGUCACUGUAUUUUUUCAUCUUAGGCAAAUUAAUGUUUACAAAAUAAUUAUUCAAAUGAAUUAAAAUCCACAAUAAAGAAGCAUUUUCUUUAGCUAGAACAGAUUGUUAAUUUGAGAGGCCAAUUUCAUAGUAAAAGCCCUCUAACAAAUUCAUUUGAAGAAAAAUCUUAAUGACCUACCUCCAUUUUCUAUUCAGAACCUCAGCCUGGUUUUUCAAAAACUAACCACAACAAAGCAUCACUGUCCACCCUUACAGUACCCCACUCAUACUGAUCCUGUCUUACUAAGGUCUACUGUCUCUGAGGUUUUCAGACCUUCAUCUUCAUGCAUCAAAAUUCAGUAAUGUUUUCUAUUUCCCUAAUUACCAGUAUCUAAUUAAGCCAAUCCUGUUAAGAUACUAACAACUCAAAAACUAAAAGUGUUAUCCUGUCUAUAUGUACUUUUAUUUUAAUGAGUAAUUGCCAAAGGGGAUAUCUUUUACGACAAGUGUAGCAUUUCAGGCAUCCAAAGGGAAAUAUUCAAAGAUAUUUGACAUCUUAUUGUUUAAUAUCGCCAUGAGUUUUAUUUUCAAAUAAGGUUAGUCUUGCUUAUCCUAAGAAGCAUUAUCAUUUCAAAGAUUUUAGCAGUGUGGGUCAAAGAAAUUGAUUAACAACUUGCAAAAUUUUAUAGCCUUAAUGUCUAAACAUUUAUAGAUGUAAUAGGAACAUCAAAUCUGUUAAAACUGCCUUGAUCUAAUUUGUAAAAUGGUGAUAGUUUUUAGUGUUGGGCCUCUGCUUGAACAACAUCCAAAGUAUAUUUAGCAUUUAUCUUUCUCCAAUUUUUAGACAGUCAUCUGCAUUUCCAGAGGGUUGAUGACAGGGCAGCUUGAAGUUUAAAGACAGCACCUGCAUUUGCAUUUCAAUAGUUCCAUAAUUCUAUGAAACCACUGAAAUCUCUUCAAUGUCUCAUUGUUUAAAUAGUAAAGGUGGCCAGAUUUUGUUCAAGAUUCAUAAUCUUACAAAAAUAUGGAGCCGUUGUAUUCAAAGCUUAUUCUAAAGAGAAUACCUUCUCUUUACACCUUAUAAUCCUGUUUGUUAAAACCCAUAACAAUUAGGUGGACAUCUGAACAUAUUUAAAGUAUUUUAUCCAUUGGAUUUUUAUGGUCCAAAAUCAAGAUUCUAGGACAAGAUAAAUGGGAAAGGAGGACAUGUAGUUUGAAAUGUGUUAUAUCAGCACCAUCAAUUUUUAAUUCGGGGUUCCAAAAUUAUCUUUUUCUCCAUUGGAAAGGAAUACGUUUGUUUCCACGUAGGAAACUACUUCCACUUAACACACAGAAGGUAACUUCAUUGGUAGGUAUGCUGCCUGUAUGCAAGGAUCUGCAGUUACUCAUAACUGGCUGUGUUUUUAAACAGAAUAAUUUUUGUCAAAUAUUUUGAUACAAAACAAUGAAGCCUGAAGUUAAAAUAAGAAAUUCUGGGCUCAAGUGCAGGGCAACUGGACACCCUUAUGAGAUGAGCCUUUGUGCCCUUCCUGUAAGUGUGGAUUAGAUUAUCCACCACCUAGAUUUAAGAAAGGAUUAAAUGAAAGAAUAUAUGUGAAAGUACUGUGUUGACUGUAUUAAAAAGAACUGGAAACCCAUAAAGGACCGCUAUAAUUGUGUAAUUGUUGCGCCAGGUUAUUUUGUCAAUACAUUUUUAAUCAGCACCUAAAAUAUUUCAUGUCACUUCAUCCAGCAGAGACAUUGAGAUGUGGCAAAAUGUUU